GUUCAAAACAAAUAUUAAGAUCCUCUGGACGCAAAUCUUUCUCAUCCGGAGAAUCCUCUGGUUGCUGGAUUCCCAAAGCUUAGAUGCCGCUGUCGGACAGCUUUGCUGAGUACAAAUACCAACAGAUCACUGUUCUCUGGCUUCGUUAAAAGUUAAGCUUAGGCAACUGAGCAGGAAUUUAGAAGACAGUUGCCACUUCUGCAGAAAGAGAGGUGCCAUUUGGGCCUGAAGCGUGCAUCUUCAUGGAGAAUUGUUUGAACCACUGGGGAUGGGGACUAUGCCUGUCUCAUUCUUUGCGGUAUCCCAGCACCUAGUACAGUGGCUCAAGCAGAAAGAGACACUGAAGCCUGCAAAAAGAGAGAGAUUUGCCUAAGGUCUGUAGUCUGCAGGUGAGCUCUGGGUUCAGAGAAGUGAUGUUUGCCCAACGUCAGGGCUCUUGUUUGAACUUCUCUGCUGCAACCAGUCCUUCCUAUGUUGGUUGAAGGAGAGCUUUGCUUCUCGUGGCAUACAGGGACCCACCCUUAUGGCAUGACUUCAAAGUUAUGUGACAUGGUGGUGCAGCUGGAAGAUGAGGAAAGUGAACAACGUUGGAGAGGCCCCACCUACUCUUGACUGUCUCUGCUGGAAGUGAUUCAACACUCCUCUUUAAAUUUCAUUGAUAAGGAAAACCCCCAUGAGAGAAAGUAACUUGAUCAACAUCACACAGCUAGGUGGGAGUGGUGGCUUCUGCCUGUAAUCCAAGCACUUUGGGAGGACGAGGCAGGCAGAUCGCUUGAGCCCAGGAGUUUGAAACCAGCCUGGGCAACAUGAGGAAACCUUGCCUCUAUAAAAUAAACAAAAAUUAACCA
rnacentral:lncRNA from 10 species